CCUUUGUUGGCAUCAGUGCUUCUUCGUUUUCUUAUAGUGGAACAACCUCUUCCGCAGCUUUUUGCGAGUUAGGCCCCGAUUCAUUCUGGUGACUCUGCGCAAACGGCCACCUAUUUCCCCGCCCAGCUUGAGAGUAAUAGAGUGAGGUGCGAGUGUGCGCCGCUACACCUUACUCUGCUCUCGCCGCACGCGGGCUCUUUUUUUCGCCUGGCUCCUUACAGUGGACUCCCGCUCAUACGGUCCUGCAGUGCUCCCAGCCGUAACGAUCGCCUAUCUUAUUUGGGCAUUUCUUCGCUCCCCCCUCGCGACGCUGCUCCAGAAUUGUGCACAUCUUUCGUUUUCAUUUCUUUGGUGUUGAUAUUCGUUUUCUCCCACUACACACACCCCGUCCACCAUCUCUUUUUUGUUAUUCUCUUCACUUGCUCCACCGAGUCAUCACCGGUGGCACUCUGCAGGCGCAUCCACAGCCGCACGCUCGCCCGAAGGUGGGGGUGGGGUGGGGAAGGGAGCACUUGCGCCCUGAACGUCUUUUCUGUUUUCGCCUCUCUUUUGCCUUUCCUGUUCCUUUUCCGAGCACAUCUACAUUCCAUACGCGCUUCUCAUCGCCACGCUCUACCGUAGCCGGAGCGAUAUUCACCCACAGCUCCCUCCCUCACUCCUCCAUCAUCAGAGAACAGGACCUCUUUUUCUGUUUGUGCGUGCGCGCUCUGUAUCUGCUUUCCCUUUUUCAAUUGUCGAGUGCUCACCUCUUCCAUGUUCGUUUCUCUUUUCGUUCAUCUCGUGCGUGGUUCUUGAACCUUGGAGAUACGCCGCCGCAGAACGCAUCUCCACCAGCCCAGAUCUUGUCUUUGCUCCCAUCCUAACAGACACGGAAUUCCUCUGCGUCAUCAUUUUUUGUUGCUGACGUGCUCGCCUGUAUGGAUGUUUUCUUGCUGGUAAUAUUAUGUGAUGGUUGCACGUAUUUCUUGUGCUUGUCUCCGCUCUUUUCCGAUUUCUACUAGAGCCUUUUUUCUUUUUGCUUCCUCGCCCUGCGCUGCUCCGCCCUGCUCCUCCACACCGUCUCUACUUGUCUCCUUUCAGGGAAACUGCAUGCCGAUAGGCGUCCACCCCCACCCCCUCUUCCUCUACCCCUCUACCCUAUCCUCGCGUGUGUGUAAAGGCCGCUUCGUGUUUGCUUCGGAGAUUUCACUGUUCUCCCGUCUUCCUCCCUCCUUGAACCUUCCCCUGUAAUGUGCCCCCCCCUUCCCCUCCCCAGACCUCUCUCUUUCUCUUCCUCUCCAUCGAGUUCGUUGUUUCCUCUGUCACUCGCGUCUUCGACGGCCGAGCCUGUUCACACACCCUCCCCUCUUCUUUGUCGACUUCUCAUCGCGUUCGUCCCCCUCCAUUCGCCGCGCGCCGCAUUUCUCUGUCUUUGCGUGUGCACCAGCGUCACUGCUGCCGCCUCCCUUGCCUGCUUCCUCUGUCCGCCCGCCUCUCUGGUUCCCGUGGUGUUCCCACUGCUCUGGCACAGGGUAGCCGGUCCACCGUGUCGGGCGCAGCAACAAAAGCCAUGGACAAACCGGCGCCACCGCCGCCUCCGUGUUCAACUCAGGCGCGACAGCACACGAAAGGGGAGAGAGAGUCGUGGACAACAAUGGCCUUGCCCCCUGUCUUGCACCUAGGCCCGCACAAGCUGAAGCUCUUCCCUAUUUGCCGCAGUGCCGAGGCCGCGCCUGGCAGGCACCGCUGCAACGACAGUCUCCUGACGGGGUUCUGCUUUGUGGGUGAGCUUCAGACGGACGCCGUCGGCCUCAGCGUCGCCAACGUCGCCGCUGACCGUGACUCCAAUCGUAGAAAAGUGACCAUUCUGUGGUACUACUCGCCGCUGUUCCAUUUCGAACAUAAGAGAAUCCGGGUCGAAGAGGGCGUGAUCGAGGCUGCGCUGACAAAGGAAGUAACAGCGCGCCAGCACGCCGAUGCGAACUCUCCGUCACUCAAGUUUGGCGGCGCGGAGGCGGUAAAGCACGAGGAUUCUUGCUCGACGCGUUCGAGUGUGGCGUCAAGCGCGGCACUCUCCGUGACCCAUGCCACUGGUCUUCCAGCGCUAUAUCUUCGUGUCGGCAACUCCACGACAUUCCGCGAGUACAGAUUGGUAAUAGAAGGGCAGCACAGCACAGCCCUUGGUGAUUCUACAGAGCUGCGCACGCCGAGCGGUGCGGGUGUUGCUGGCGACGGCCACAAUGACGUAUCCGUGCAUGCAGCGCACAAGCCACCAACUCUGCGACCCUUGGCCCCGAGGCGACCUACGCUGAGGCCGAUCGACACGCGACCGGACGGCAACGGCUUACGAAGCACGGCGAGGCUAGCUCACAAGCGAAAUGCUGCACUGAGCGGAUGGCGUGCCUCCGCCAGCGCACCGACACAGUGUCACGCUGCGCCGGUGGAGGAAGAGUUGAAGGCGCUGCAGCAGCCGAGUCCUUUCAGCACAGCCGCCAGGACUGCUAUCACUACUGCACCGGCGCCUCAUCCACAUAAUGAAGGGGCCAAUGUAGCGUGCGAGGCGGUGCUUCCUAUGCGAAUGCCCCUCUCAUGCGGAGAUUACUCACAGGCCUCCCCGCGCGUCCCGAACGAAGGAAAUUUACCGCAGUGGGCGUCGCCUGUGGACCACUGCGAAACCCGAGAGGUGUGCGCACACAAGGACUUCCCGCACGGCAGCUUCCUUUGAGCGCAGCCGGCGGCUCGAGUGUGUCCUCGGCGUUCCUCUCCAGCUCCCUUUGCUUAUGUAUGCCAUCCCAGUCCCCGACCGGUGCCCUUAGCACCGCGCGCUCCGCGGAAACGGACACGAAUGACCUCCACUCCUCAGCUAGGGUCAGCGGCUCCUCUGGCCGCUUCCUCUACGACGUCCACCGGCAUUCGCGGGAGAUCACGUGCCUCGUGUCUGCCGUCUGCACCCACUGCCGCAGAGCACGUCUUGAUUGACGCCUACGCCGGCGUCGAAUUCCCGUUUGACAAGAAGCCUUGCGUUUCGCACGCUCGGCAACAGCAGCGACGGCAUGUCGUGCUCUAUCCACGCGCCGCACGGCUCCGCAGUCCAAGGAACGCAGUUGGAGGUAGAGCGAGUGAUCGCAGCCACACCGCCGUCAGCGCGGUAGAAGCCGCGCCGAGCUCCAACCAGCGGCAAAAACGCCCAUCGCUGUAUGCUUAUGUGUGUGUGUGUGUGAUGCGUUGGGUAGCCGGCUGCAGUCCUCGCUUCAUUGCUCCUGCUGCUUACACCUUUCAUCGGCAUUCUUUUUUUUUCCAGUUCCGCGCUGUUGCGUCUUCCUAUGUUCUCUACCCUUAUCCCUUUCUCCCGGUUUUCUCGCUCACAGGCACCGACUGUCGUUGGGGGCUCUUGCACGACUGGCAUGGGCCGGCCUCCUGUAAUAUCAUAUGUGCAUACGUGUGUGUGUGUGUCGUCAUGUUUAUGUGGCGCCGUGCGUCGACCGGAGGGAGGUAUCAGUGAGGCGGCAGAGACCAAUGUCAACGGUCGCGCUAGCCACUGACACAUUGGCGCGAGGGUUUUCGCGUGUGGGGGGCGGGCCGGCGAGCAGUCGGGCAGGCGGUGGAGAGAAAUAGGGGAGGGGGGAUGGCCCGAAUAACGAGAGAGGAGGGAGUCAGUUUAAACGCCUGGCCUGUCACAUAUUUUUUCUCUUCGCUCUCGCUUACGAGAGGGUUCUUAUUUUUUUUUUCUUUUCGGAGGUGAUGGUCGGUGCGGCUGUUCAGCGUAUCACUUCUUUUUUUGUGUGUGUGUGUUCCCAUUUCGUGGAUAUCGUCAUGUGCUACACUGAAGCCGACGUGCAUCUCUCUCUCUGCAGGUGUGUGUGGGUGCUUGCAUGUGCGGCUUGUGUAAAAGGGCGCUUAAGCACUCUGGUUGGUUUUCUUAUCCACCACCCACCCCCUUUGACAUGACGGCUCCCCUUUUAUCGGUUGUUGUUGUGGCUGUCUUUGCCCCCCCCUCUUCCCUCUUUUUUUUUGUUUGUGAAGUCUCCAUGUGCGCUCACAUUCUCCUCCUUGCGUGUCUGCGCUAAUGUACUGCGCACACCUUCACCAUGUGCUCUGUCCUUCCACUCUCUCCCUCUCACUGCGAAUCUGGCACGAGGGUCGUGUCUGUGUGUAUGCGUGCGCGUUCUGAGUUCGCCGCGUGCUUUGUUUUACAUCUCUUCACCACUUGCAAGGAUGAUGUAGUUUUCCUUUCAUCUCUCUCCGCCUUCCACCUCUUACUCAUCCCGUCUCCCUGUUGACUCUUGUUUUUCUCUGAAUGAGUUUCGCUUGUCUUCACGCGGGAUCAGCGUGACUGCCGUUGCGCGAGGUUGAGGACGGCACUACCGAGUACCUCAUCACCCCUCUAGCUCGAGGUCGCUCUCUCCAUAUCGAACUGUUUUUACGCAGUCGUCUCUGGGACCUGUGCGACACGCUCCCUCACGUUACUUCAUCGUUUGUCCCUCACGCAUUCGGUGCAUUUUCUUUGUAUGUCGGCUCGUUACUUCGAACCUGUUGUGUGUGUGUGUCGGCGUGGCUGCGUGUGUCUGUUUCUCUUUUAUGCUCAAAGAAGAGAUGUGUGCCACCACAUAGCGGCCCUAUGCUCGGUGAUGGCGUGCAAACCUGGUUGAACCCAUGCCACAUGUGUGUGUGUCUGUGCAUGGGCGUGUCGGCUGUGUUCGUGGCCGCUUUUUUUAUUCUGCGCCGAUGGAGGAGUGCUUCUCUCCCUCUCCUUUCCUUUUUGACUUUGCUGCGUAGUGUGGCUCUCGCUACUGUCUUCUCAACAAUUGCAGCAGCGGAGAACUGCAUCAGGCG
rnacentral:misc_RNA from 1 species